rnacentral:rRNA from 1 species
AUGAAAAGCAAGGAGGGUGGGAUAGGCUUCUGGGAUCUGUAUAUUUUCAAUAAAGCAAUGCUAGCAAGGAAGAGCUCGAGGCUUAUACAGAAUCCGGAGUCCCUGUGUGCAAUUGUGCUCAAGGCAAAAUACUUUCCAAAAUGCUCUAUACUGGAGGCGGAGGAACAGCCGGGGAUGUCGUACACAUGGAGGAUCAUUUUAAGAGGGUGUGACCUGUUAAAAGAAGGAAUUGUUUGGCGCAUUGGAGAUGGAAUGCAAGUGAAUGUCUGGUCGGACCCGUGGCUUCCUAGGGGUACGACAAGACGACCAGUAGCACUACAAGGCCAGGCGAUCAUUACUAAAGUAAAUGAGCUCUUAAACCCGGUUACCGAGACAUGGGAUGACGAACUAGUGAGAGAACUCUUCACAAAGGAGGAUGCGAGAGUCAUCCUUUCCAUCCCUAUGAGAGCGGAGAUGGAGGAUUUUAUCUCCUGGCACUAUGAUAACAAAGGCAGGUUCUCUAUUAAAUCA